UGAAAGAGGAUGGCAAUCUCGCUGAAGCUGUUUCUUUUUCUUCACAACAUAUAGGAAAGUGUUGCCCCUUUUUGGAGAAAGUAACAACCUCCACCAACACUACUUGAAUCAGUACUGAACGAAUGUCAGGUCCUUGGGAAAUUCUCCAAUCCUGUCUCCUGUCCUGGCCGGGUGUGCUCCUGGUGCACCAUUCGACUAAGUCAAUUUGAACUAUUUGGGAGACCUUUGUACCUACGUUUCCUUCUGCUUGGAAGAUCCUUUCUGUUUUGUCAGCUCUUACUUCCAUGUUGUGGAAAACUGAUCUGACCUCCUAGUCCUGAAUCAGGGGCCAUAAAGAAAAUUGAUGAGGACAACUGGCCUCCCAGUAUGUGGAUUCAGUUUCCAUAUGUCAAUUUACCAACUCCCACUGGUAGUCUGAAGAGAUAUGGCUACUGGAGAACAGAAAAUCACCAGUAUUAAUAAAAGCAAUUUUAAGUGUUUACCUUUUAGUAUUUGAAUAGCUUUGUUAAAGAGACGUACUCAAGAAUACUAUGAAGAGACUCUUAUUGUACUCCUUACCUGGAGAUAAUUGUGAUGCCAGAAAUUCAAAUUUAUAUUCAACAAUAUGGUUUUUCAACCAUCAAUAUUAUAAACAUCUAGGCAGUGUCUAUUGUUUGCGCAUUUGCCAUCCUCUAAAAUGAGAUUAUUCUAAGCAUAA
rnacentral:lncRNA from 1 species